rnacentral:hammerhead_ribozyme from 1 species
AUACAGCUGACGAGUCCCAAAUAGGACGAAACGCUCGUCUUCCAU